GGGAGCACGAGGAGUUUCCACGCCAAAGAAUUCAGAAAGGGGGUAUGAACCGACCUGGCAGGGCACAGCUACGGGGUCUCGCACUGUCGCCCAGGCUGGAGUCUGCAGUGCAGCGGCAGGAUCUCGGCUCACUGCAACCUCCGCCUCCGCCUCCCGGGUUCAAGCCAUUCUCCUGCCUCAGCCACCCGAAUAGCUGGGAUUACAGGAGCCCGCCACCACGCCCAGCUAAUUUUUGUAUUUUUAGUAGAGACGGGGUUUCACCGUGUUGGCCAGGCUGGUCUUGAACUCCCGACCUCGUGAUUCGCCUGCCUCGGCCUCCCGAAGUGCUGGGAUUACAGGCAUGAGCCACCGCGCCCGGACUGCACACCUCUUGACUCUUUGGAAAUUGCCUCAAAGGAAACUUCAGAGUAAAGAUUGAGAUGAGAACUUUACAGGUAACCUGCACCCUGGGCAACCACCCUCCUCCCAGCACUCAGAGCUACAGCAGCCAUGGCUACCCCAAGAUCUGUCAGUAUUGGAGCCCCAACCCUGCCCCCCAGGACACCAAAGCCUACAAAGUACCUCAGUACUUCACUGCUUAACAAGUAGAACAUCAACUGUGAUACUAAGCAGCAUUGAUUAAUGAUAAAGAUGACCCUUGGUUGGUAAAUUGCAUCUGGACUAACCAACUCCAUUUUGCUUCUAACCACCAAGCUGUCCUUGUUCAUUCCUGGGCAUAGGCUGAAUUAACUUUGAGAGGAACCUGUUUAUAGUUUAUAGUUUAAAACAAAGAUGAUAACAGGCUUUUCCCAGGGAAAAUCUCCUUCUUGCCUGGGGACUAGACCGCCUUCGCAGGACUAAGAAAUUAGCCACAAGAUUAGAAAUUUCGGUUUAGGAGUCAUGCAGCUGGAGGCUACAAGAUUCUGACACUACCUAAGCUGCUCCUAAGAGCAGUGCUUGAGAUGUUUUGCAGACCCAGCACUUGAAGGAUCAGGUGACACCACCUGGACCAAUAAACUGGCUCAUCUGAUCUUGUGCCUCCCACCCAGGAACUGACUCAGCACAAGAAGACAGCUCGACUCCCUAUGAUUUCACCUCUGACCUGACCAAUCAGCACUCCCGGCUCACUGGCUUGCCCCCCAACCACCAAGUUGUCCUUACAAACUCUGAUCCCCAAAUGCCUGGGGAGACUGAUUUGAGUAAUAAUAAAAGUCCAGUCUCCCGCACC
rnacentral:lncRNA from 1 species